AUAUAUAUAGUAUAAAAUAAUAUAUUUAAUUUCCAAUUAAAAGAUUUAAUAAUAAAAUAUAUAUA
rnacentral:tRNA from 1 species